GAUGAACGCUGGCGGCGUGCCUAAUACAUGCAAGUCGAGCGAACGGACGAGAAGCUUGCUUCUCUGAUGUUAGCGGCGGACGGGUGAGUAACACGUGGAUAACCUACCUAUAAGACUGGGAUAACUUCGGGAAACCGGAUCUAAUACCGGAUAAUAUUUUGAACCGCAUUGUUCAAAAGUGAAAGACGGUCUUGCUGUCACUUAUAGAUGGAUCCGCGCUGCAUUAGCUAGUUGGUAAGGUAACGGCUUACCAAGGCAACGAUGCAUAGCCGACCUGAGAGGGUGAUCGGCCACACUGGAGCUGAGCCACGGUCCAGACUCCUACGGGAGGCAGCAGUAGGGAAUCUUCCGCAAUGGGCGAAAGCCUGACGGAGCAACGCCGAGUGAGUGAUGAAGGUCUUCGGAUCGUAAAACUCUGUUAUUAGGGAAGAACAUAUGUGUAAGUAACUGUGCACAUCUUGACGGUACCUAAUCAGAAAGCCACGGCUAACUACGUG
rnacentral:rRNA from 1 species